AUGUCCCUUCAUUCAGUAUUGAAUGUCGCCUUGUGUAUGGUGACUUUCUUCUAUUUUCUCUGGUUUUUUCGACAUUUUUUGGGCGGUCUUCCUAUUGAUUUUUUGAAAAAUUAAACUACGGUCAAUAUGUGUGCAGUGUCCCGCAUGCCGACGAUUUCCGGUCACAUACAAACAAAACAUAGACGGGCUUUAAAGCUGUCUUUUGGACAGUAUCAAAACCUCUAUAAUACUUCACGUCUCUAUUAUGUUGGAUGCAUUUAUCCGUUGGAACAUGGACCGUGCGAGAGCAGAUAUUAAGAAAAUAACAUAUUGGCUUAGGCUGGAUACACUGGUAGGAGAACCCAUAGGAAAGUUGCAAAUCAACCAUAAGCAGACACUCAACUGGCUACUGGCGGUGCAGCGCUUCUACCCUUCUCAAGGGCUACAUGAGGAUCUCUGUAACAGACUAGGUGUGGACAACUCAUCGAGUGAAUUCUGCUGA
rnacentral:misc_RNA from 1 species